rnacentral:lncRNA from 1 species
CUAAAACUACCACCUAAACUAACCACCUAAUCUAAUUACCUAAACUAAUCACCUAAACUAAUUACUUAAACUAAUUACCUAAACUAACCACCUAAACCUAAAUUAAUAUUAAAAAAACAUACCUUUGAGAGAAGGAGAGUUUUAGUUUUCCUCUAAUCUGAUAGGUAAAACUUUAGGUUAGAGAAUAGAACCUCGAGAGGAGUGGUUUGAGAGGAAUUAAGGAGGCACUCCUCAUUCAUGUUUCGAGUUUAUAUAAGAAAACAACAUUCCUCGUAAAGUCGUCGUAAUUUUACUAGGAAUCUACCAGGCCCGCAUUUUUUAGUGUUACGAGAAAUCUACCAGGUCUGCGUUUUUAGAAUUACAACGAAUUUACAAUGAAAACUUUACAAUAAAAUUACAAGGAAAGCAUUACAACGAAUUUACAAGGACACAUGUAUUACGAGGAAGCUACCACACCCGUGUGUUUUCUAUUACGACGAAUUUACUAGAACUAUAUCUGAAACCCCGAAAAUCAAAUCCCUAAACCCCAAAAUCACUUAUCUAUAUACACCAUACCCUUUUACCACAUCAUCCCCUUUAUCCCAUUUUUUUCUUAAACC